rnacentral:piRNA from 1 species
UCCCAGAUUUCACCUCGGCGAUGCUGGUC